rnacentral:rRNA from 1 species
UACGUAGGGGGCAAGCGUUGUCCGGAAUCAUUGGGCGUAAAGCGCGUGUAGGCGGUUCGGUAAGUCUGCUGUGAAAGUCCAGGGCUCAACCCUGGGAUGCCGGUGGAUACUGUCGGGCUAGAGUACGGAAGAGGCGAGUGGAAUUCCCGGUGUAGCGGUGAAAUGCGCAGAUAUCGGGAGGAACACCAAUUGCGAAGGCAGCUCGCUGGGACGUCACUGACGCUGAGACGCGAAAGCGUGGGAGCAACAGG